rnacentral:tRNA from 1 species
CGAAGUGGUGAAAUUGGUAGACGCACCAGACUCAAAAUCUGGAGUUCUUCGGAGCGUGCGGGUUCGAGUCCCGCCUUCGGC